UUAGGUAGAGGUGCGGUUGCGAUGAGUAACGUCUGACAGGAAAACCAUUCCGCAUUAUGCAGACGCAAAAGGCAAUACCGCCGAAGGACAGUCUCCGGUAAAGGCUGUUCUGGUCAUGAUCUUAACAGGGUCAUGAUUGUCAUCAGCGUAUGGUGGAGAGCUAUCG
rnacentral:ncRNA from 1 species